GGGUGGGCGAAAGCAGUAGCCUAACAAAAAGAUAAUACAAGCAUCUUUACAUCAUACAAGUUGUAUAUGACUACGAUACUCACGGAGACAUACACCGCUUAUACACACAUCACCGGAGCCAGAGGAAGACAGGCUGUACUGGAGCUGCCUUCACUUCAGGCUGUACUGGAGCUGCCUUCCCUUCAGACUGUACUGGAGCUGCCUUCCCUUCAGGCUGUACUGGAGCUGCCUUCCCUUCAGACUGUACUGGAGCUGCCUUCCCUUCAGGCUGUACUGGAGCUGCCUUCACUUCAGACUGUACUGGAGCUGCCUUCCCUUCAGGCUGUACUGGAGCUGCCUUCACUUCAGACUGUACUGGAGCUGCCUUCACUUCAGACUGUACUGGAGCUGUCUUCACUUCAGACUGUACUGGAGCUGCCUUCCCUUCAGGCUGUACUGGAGCUGCCUUCACUUCAGACUGUACUGGAGCUGCCUUCCCUUCAGGCUGUACUGGAGCUGCCUUCCCUUUAGACUGUACUGGAGCUGCCUUCACUUCAGACUGUACUGGAGCUGCCUUCACUUCAGACUGUACUGGAGCUGACAGUGACGCAGGUGAUGUGCAUACUCCAGAAGUAAUUGAAAGGUAAAAGGUGAUUAUCGGAGGAAAGUACUAAGCCUUUAUGACCAUUGAGCACUUGGAAGGGGUGAGAAUAAGGAUUUGGUAUAAGAUGUAGGAAAGGAAUGGUGUCUAACCACAUGGACAGUCGGAGAUUGAAUACCAACCUGCAAGAGGCAAGACCGUCACUCUGCUGUCCAACCCAAGUGGUUGGAGAGGCAAAGAGUAAACUGACAAAUGUGCCACUGCCAAAUGCCAGUGUAAAGCCAAAUGUGCAACUGCCAUAUUGGUUUCUUCAAGAUGUUCCCUUCCAUUGGUGCUUUCUCUGGAAAUUGGGAAAGACAUGACCACCACAUACAAGAGAAUUGGCAAGGUAGAUGUAAAGAUUAUUGUGCAUCGCUGGUAUAAAAACAAUUACGGGACACGGUGUGGAAAUUAUGCACUCGAAUGAACCAUUAGACUAAUGCUAAAAAUAUUGCUAUUAGUCAGUGAACAGCUCAAUGGAUUUGUAAUCGGGGUUUGAUGAUGCAUAUACACAUUCCGCCUCUCAAGGUGGAAUACGUAUACGUUUUUACAAAGUCGGAACAUAUGAUAAGCAGUAGAGCGGGUGUCAUAAGAGUAAGGAAUGCGUAAGGUUAGUUAGUUUAGUUCAUUUAUUAUGCACCCCAUACCCAUCUUGUGGGUGGUAGUGGAAAGGGUUACAGAGGCACAUAAUGGGCUCAGGGACUGAACCCCACAAUUCAUUUAGCUAAGCAAGUUACAAUCUUGAUGAGCUAGUUACAAAAUUCAAUAUAAGUCGUCACAUCAAGACGUGAUUCACCACCAUACUGUCAGUAAGACCCCCGCACGGUCGCACCGGAUCUGAUGCACUUCCGUCUUGACCUCGCCACACCUCGCCGCCUGAUGUGGAUUACAAUAAACAUGACUGAGCUAAGAUUAUGUUCAUUAUUCUUUCUUUUAUUAUUGUUUUGUCAUUGUAAUGCUACGAUGGUUAGUAAUAAUAGUUGUUUUGCUACUUAGUGAAUGAAAAAUCUAGUUUCUGACGUAUAGUUCAGACACCAUAUUAUAACCGUUAUCCUUUUGCCAUAUACAGCAACAAAAAUAGUUAAAUGUGGUUUUGUUCUUCCAGAUAAAGGGAACAAUUAAAACUUAGUUUGUGUUUUAAGGAGCGACGCAUCCUGGCGCUGGCUGCACUUACGGCGUCACACCAGCUGAUAAGGUUAGAGGAGCGUCCGGUACACCCAAGAGCUAAGAAAACAAACAUCAUCAACACCAUCUUGGUCAAGGAGGUGCCACAUCCGCCACAUAUCUUUACAGCGCCGGAAUCUGACUCCAGUUUAACUUCACAGAAAAAACGUUAAUAGCAAGAAAGAGUGGGCAGGAUAAAACCGCCAGUGGAAUGGACACACAUGUGCUCGCGAUGAGUCACAAUAACGUGGCUGAAGUAUGUUGACCAGACCACACACUAG